CAAUAGCGUAUAUUAAAGUUGUUGCGGUAAAAAAGCUCGUAGUUGGAUUUCUACCGAAGAUAGCCGGUCGGGUCUUCGACCUUGUAUCUGGUUUUGUCUUUGGUAUCCUCAUAGGGAACGUUUCUGCGCUUUAUUGCGUGGUGCGGUAUCUAUGACUUUUACUUUGAGGAAAUUAGAGUGUUCACGGCAGGCAAACGCCUUGAAUAUAUUAGCAUGGAAUAAUAACAUAGGAUCUUCGUCCUAUUUUGUUGGUUUCUAGGGCUAAGAUAAUGAUUAAUAGGGAUAAUUGGGGGCAUCUGUAUCAACGCGUCAGAGGUGGAAUUCUUGGAUUGCGUUGCGACAAACUACUGCGAAAGCAUUUGCCAAGGAUGUUUACAUUGA
rnacentral:rRNA from 1 species